GCCCGUGGUGCAAUCAGUAGCGCGCACGACUCGUAAUCGUGCGGUUGCGGUUCGCGCCCCGCCGGAGGCU
rnacentral:tRNA from 3 species